rnacentral:ncRNA from 1 species
GCAAAGCCUGUGAGCGGGACGAGUAGCCAGGUCCCUCCUGUUGCAGAGAGCCCGGGGAAGCUGGAAACCGGGUACAGGAAGCCAUGGCGAAAAUCACCCGGGAGGUGCCGGCUGAACGGCGGGGUUAUCCCCGUUCAGUAGGCCCGGACGGCUGGCCACCGUUACCGGCAAAACGAGGGGACAGGUUAGUGAACGUUAACCUGUCUAUAAGGGUGGUACCGCGGGAAGAUCCCGUCCCUUGG